rnacentral:rRNA from 1 species
GAUGAACGCUGGCGGCGUGCCUAAUACAUGCAAGUCGAGCGAACAGACGAGGAGCUUGCUCCUCUGACGUUAGCGGCGGACGGGUGAGUAACACGUGGAUAACCUACCUAUAAGACUGGGAUAACUUCGGGAAACCGGAGCUAAUACCGGAUAAUAUAUUGAACCGCAUGGUUCAAUAGUGAAAGACGGUUUUGCUGUCACUUAUAGAUGGAUCCGCGCCGCAUUAGCUAUUUGGUAAGGUAACGGCUUACCAAGGCAACGAUGCGUAGCCGACCUGAGAGGGUGAUCGGCCACACUGGAACUGAGACACGGUCCAGACUCCUACGGGAGGCAGCAGUAGGGAAUCUUCCGCAAUGGGCGAAAGCCUGACGGAGCAACGCCGCGUGAGUGAUGAAGGUCUUCGGAUCGUAAAACUCUGUUAUUAGGGAAGAACAAAUGUGUAAGUAACUAUGCACGUCUUGACGGUACCUAAUCAGAAAGCCACGGCUAACUACGUG